CUGGAAAGUUCGUAAAAAGCUCAUUAUAAAUAAAUAGCUUUGGACAAUUUCACACAGCGCUAUCUAGCCCCAAAUUAAGCAAUUAAUAAUAGGGGGCGGGAGGGGGGACGCCCUACUCGAACAAAAAUUGGCACUUUAAUAUUUUGCAAACGGAUCCCGAAAUCGAAUUAUAGUCUUAAAAACCCCUAAGCCAUUUUAAAAGACCUAUCCAACGAUGCUCCACUCGAUGGAAUAGAAGAUGAAAAAAAAAUCAUCCCCACUUUACAUGCCUAUAUUCCCACUCGCCCCCGCGGGGAUUGCCACCAGAGGCAAAUGGAGCAAUUAUUUCUUUUAAAUUUUAUUCUACCACUUUGUAGGCAUUAUUAAUAUACAUACCUCCACAAAAUUACAGCUCUCUAGUGCCAAUACUUUCCAAGCAAAACCUCGGAUGGAUAGACAGACAGACAGACAUAACGAAACUAUAAGGGUUCUUUGUCAGGACUACGGAACCCUAAAAAAACAGUUCUUAUGCCAUAAGAACUUAGAUGUAAUUAACUUGCGUGCAAUCGCCAUAAUAUGUAUUUUGCCUUAUAAAUAUUACUUAAUAAUACAUUACUGAAUUAAAGAUGCCACAAGCAUAUUUAGCUAAGUACGAGGGGCUAAUGGGACUUAUUAGUAAUUUGUGCAAAACAAAUUACUAAUAUUCUUCUUAAAAAAUAUCGACUUGUUCAAUGGACAGAACAGCAGACAUGAAAAUUAUUGCAUCGCGAUAUUGUUACUUCUUUCUUAAUAACUAAUUUUAAAUAAUUAUUGCUGAAAAUUCAAUUUGUACUCUCAAAUGUUCUUCCCUAGGUUAUCUAUCUAGGUAUACUACUACAAAUUACUUGUAUUUUGAACGCUUACUUGCGGCAACAGUUCUCCACAAAGUGUCUUAUUUUGUAAGUGAUCGCAUAAGUGCUUUACAAAAUAUAAUAACGAAGUCAGUACUAUUGACGGAAGGACAAUAUUGACAAAAAAAUCUCAUUAAUUUAAAAUUCGAAAAAAAUUUUGCGCUCAUCACCAAAUAAAAUUAAUCAAACAAUUUGUAUUUGCCGGCAUGUCAAACUGAAACAUUUAAAAGUUCUAAAUUUAUUAAAUGACCUUUUUUUUACUUGUUGGCAACUGUAUUUUAAGUACUAAUUUCACCAUAAUAUGGUUGUUAAUAUUAACAGGGCUGUUAUGGUGCGUCCACACUGAGCGAACGGGCUCGCGCGGCAAACUCGACAUCCUGCUCACUCAAGACCAGGGUGAGCAGGAUGACCAGCGUGCCGCGCUGAUAUGUCUCACGGGAUGAAUACAACAGACCAUUAUCAAACCAAAAAUUUUACUAAAUAUUAAUUUGCUAGUCGUUUACUCUUUUUUCAAGCAACCGAAUCUCCAUUCAUAAAAAGCGGUGAUUAGAUGUAAUUGCCUCGUCAUGAAUUUAAUACCUUGCAACACGUGGUGGACACUUGAACUUUGACAGCCCGGUUGGUGAUUUUACAGUACGUUUAAUAUUUAGUCUA